UCUGAGCAGCCCGAUUUGAGCGGAAAUCCUUUUUUUCUGGCAAAAGCGAUGGAAAAAAAAGAUUGGGAGCGGAAGGCGGAUACAGCU
rnacentral:sRNA from 1 species